CGAGAUUCCCCCAGUAGCGGCGAGCGAACGGGGAGCAGCCCAGAGCCUGAAUCAGUGUGUGUGUUAGUGGAAGCGUCUGGAAAGGCGCGCGAUACAGGGUGACAGCCCCGUACACAAAAAUGCACAUAUUGUGAGCUCGAUGAGUAGGGCGGGACACGUGGUAUCCUGUCUGAAUAUGGGGGGACCAUCCUCCAAGGCUAAAUACUCCUGACUGACCGAUAGUGAACCAGUACCGUGAGGGAAAGGCGAAAAGAAC
rnacentral:rRNA from 1 species